GCCUAUGUAGUUUAAUUAAAAUUUAACACUGAAGAUGUUAAGAAAGACCCUAAAAAGUCUCGUAAGCAU
rnacentral:tRNA from 1 species